rnacentral:rRNA from 1 species
GAGUUUGAUCGUGGCUCAGAACGAACGCUGGCGGCAUGGAUUAGGCAUGCAAGUUGAACGAACCACUUCGGUGGAGAGUAGCGGAAGGGUGAGGAACGCGUGAGUAAUCUGCCCCCUAGUUGGGAAUAACAGUUGGAAACGACUGCUAAUACCGAAUGUGGCUUCAAUCCUGCAUGGGAUGGAGGCUAAAGAUUUAUCGCUAGGGGAUGAGCUCGCGUCCCAUUAGGUAGUUGGUGAGGUAACGGCCCACCAAGCCGACGAUGGGUAGCUGGUCUGAGAGGAUGGUCAGCCACACUGGGACUGAGACACUGCCCAGACUCCUACGGGAGGCUGCAGUCGAGAAUCUUGGGCAAUGCGCGAAAGCGUGACCCAGCAAUGCCGCGUGUGUGAUGAAGGCCUUCGGGUCGUAAAGCACUGUCUCCCGUGA